CCUACGGGUGGCAGCAGUAGGGAAUCUUCCACAAUGGGCGAAAGCCUGAUGGAGCAACGCCGCGUGGGUGAAGAAGGUCUUCGGAUCGUAAAACCCUGUUGUUAGAGAAGAAAGUGCGUGAGAGUAACUGUUCACGUUUCGACGGUAUCUAACCAGAAAGCCACGGCUAACUACGUGCCAGCAGCCGCGGUAAUACGUAGGUGGCAAGCGUUAUCCGGAUUUAUUGGGCGUAAAGGGAGCGUAGGUGGGUUGUUAAGUCUGUUGUGAAAGUUUGCGGCUUAACCGGAAGAUUGCAUUUGAUACUGGCAGUCUUGAGUGCAGUAGAGGUAGGCGGAAAUCGAGGUGUAGCGGUGAAAUGCGUAGAUAUAACGAAGAACACCAGUGGCGAAAGCGGCUUACUGGACUGCAACUGACGUUGAUGCUCGAAAGUGUGGGUAGCAAACAGGAUUAGAUACCCUGGUAGUC
rnacentral:rRNA from 1 species